rnacentral:rRNA from 1 species
GAUGAACGCUAGCGGCAGGCUUAAUACAUGCAAGUCGUGGGGCAGCAGGGGUAGCAAUACCCGCUGGCGACCGGCAAACGGGUGCGGAACACGUACGCAACCUUCCUUUAACUGGAGAAUAGCCCCUCGAAAGAGGGAUUAAUACUCCGUAACAUCCCGAUGUGGCAUCACAACGGGAUUAUAGCUCAGGCGGUUAAAGAUGGGCGUGCGCCUGAUUAGAUAGUUGGCGGGGAACGGCCCACCAAGUCUGCGAUCAGUAACUGGUGUGAGAGCACGACCAGUCACACGGGCACU